UAAAAAUAACGGUAGGAAAAGCCGUAAAGACUGCAAAAUAAGGAUAAACAUACAUAAACUAUGAAGUACAAUCCAUCAAAAGUGAAUCGCGUAAAAUACCGAUUCAUAGUAAAUUCUAGACCUUCCCGUGGGCAGAGGUUGCAAAACCAUGCAUAGAAUUUACUAAAGUUAUUAGACUAGUAUACCAAAAUGCAUAAAAAUUAAUCCGUACUUGUGGGCAUAAGAUAAUUUUCAACUUAAAGGUUUACUAUCCCAUGUGGGCAGAGGUUGCAACUCAUGCAUAGAAUUUACUAACUUUAUUAGACUAGUAAACCGAAAUACAUAAAAAAUUUAUCCGUACCUGUGGGCAUAAGAUAAUUUAACUUAAAGGUUUACUAUCUCAUUCCAAUUAAUCUCGCCAAAAUGGUUGUAGGGCAGGGUUACCAUUUUAAUAAGAUAGCUGGACUAAAUAGAU
rnacentral:lncRNA from 1 species